GUAGCAAUACACUUGUAAAGCGGCGAACGGGUGAGGAAUACAUGGGUAAUCUACCAUCGAGUGGGGAAUAACCAGCCGAAAGGUUGGCUAAUACCGCGUACGCCUCCGGAUCUUCGGGUUCGGAGGGAAAGCCACACUGUGAGUGCGGCGCUCUUUGAUGAGCUCAUGUCCUAUCAGCUUGUUGGUAGGGUAACGGCCUACCAAGGCUUUGACGGGUAGCUGGUCUGAGAGGACGAUCAGCCACACUGGCACUGCGACACGGGCCAGACUCCUACGGGAGGCAGCAGUAAGGAAUAUUGCGCAAUGGGCGAAAGCCUGACGCAGCGACGCCGCGUGGGGGAUGAAGGUCUUCGGAUUGUAAACCCCUUUCGGGAGGGAAGAUGGAGCGAGCAAUCGUUCGGACGGUACCUCCAGAAGCAGCCACGGCCAACUUCGUG
rnacentral:rRNA from 1 species